GUCCACGCCCUAAACGAUGUCGACUGGUUGUUGGGGUUUGACACUCUCAGUAACGAAGCUAACGCGUGAAGUCGACCGCCUGGGGAGUACGGCCGCAAGGUUAAAACUCAAAGGAAUUGACGGGGACCCGCACAAGCGGUGGAUUAUGUGGAUUAAUUCGAUGCAACGCGAAAAACCUUACCUACCCUUGACAUGUCCGAGAGCCUGCUGAAAGGCGGGUGUGCCCGAAAGGGAAUCGGAACACAGGUGCUGCAUGGCUGUCGU
rnacentral:rRNA from 1 species